GAAAUUCACAAAAUUUCAAAAAAUCAAGUGACAAAAGGUGGUGAAUCCUCCGCUAAGGGCAAAGAAAUUGUACCCGAGGAUCGAUAGUCAGAGUACUCUAGAAAUUCGACUCCCGAAAUACUUGCUGCAGUGGGUAGGUUAUGUGGACCAGCUUAUUAG
rnacentral:sRNA from 1 species